rnacentral:rRNA from 1 species
GACGUAGGGCGCGAGCGUUGUCCGGAUUUAUUGGGCGUAAAGAGCUCGUAGGCGGCUUGUCGCGUCGAAUGUGAAAACUCGGGGCUCAACCCCGCGCUUGCAUUCGAUACGGGCAGGCUAGAGUUCGGCAGGGGAGACUGGAAUUCCUGGUGUAGCGGUGAAAUGCGCAGAUAUCAGGAGGAACACCGGUGGCGAAGGCGGGUCUCUGGGCCGAUACUGACACUGAGGAGCGAAAGCGUGGGGAGCGAACAGG